rnacentral:rRNA from 1 species
UACGUAGGGUGCGAGCGUUGUCCGGAAUUAUUGGGCGUAAAGAGCUUGUAGGCGGUUUGUCGCGUCUGCUGUGAAAUCUCAAGGCUCAACCUUGAGCUUGCAGUGGGUACGGGCAGACUAGAGUGUGGUAGGGGAGACUGGAAUUCCUGGUGUAGCGGUGAAAUGCGCAGAUAUCAGGAGGAACACCGAUGGCGAAGGCAGGUCUCUGGGCCACUACUGACGCUGAGAAGCGAAAGCAUGGGGAGCGAGCAGG